rnacentral:rRNA from 1 species
CCUACGGGUGGCAGCAGUAGGGAAUAUUGCUCAAUGGGGGAAACCCUGAAGCAGCAACGCCGCGUGGAGGAAGAAGGCUUUCGGGUUGUAAACUUCUUGUGACAGGGAAGAGCAGAAGACGGUACCUGUCGAAUAAGCCACGGCUAACUACGUGCCAGCAGCCGCGGUAAUACGUAGGUGGCAAGCGUUGUCCGGAUUUACUGGGUGUAAAGGGCGUGUAGCCGGGCUGACAAGUCAGCUGUGAAAUCCGGGGGCUCAACCCCCGAACUGCAUGUGAAACUGGUGGUCUUGAGUAUCGGAGAGGCAGGCGGAAUUCCUAGUGUAGCGGUGAAAUGCGUAGAUAUUAGGAGGAACACCAGUGGCGAAGGCGGCCUGCUGGACGACAACUGACGGUGAGGCGCGAAGGCGUGGGGAGCAAACAGGAUUAGAUACCCCUGUAGUC